rfam:Pluralibacter gergoviae strain JS81F13 contig_7, whole genome shotgun sequence.
AUGUAGUUCAGUAUAUGGGGAUGUUUCCCACACAUUCAACGGCAGGAAUAGCGGAAAAGUAAAAGGGGGAUAAAAUAUCCCCCUUUUGGCUAAUU